GUGAACGCUGGCGGUAGGCCUAACACAUGCCAGUCGAACGGCAGCACAGUAGGAGCUUGCUCUUACGGGUGGCGAGUGGCGGACGGGUGAGGAAUACAUCGGAAUCUACUUUUUCGUGGGGGAUAACGUAGGGAAACUUACGCUAAUACCGCAUACGACCUACGGGUGAAAGCAGGGGAUCUUCGGACCUUGCGCGAUUGAAUGAGCCGAUGUCGGAGUAGCUAGUUGGCGGGGUAAAGGCCCACCAAGGCGACGAUCCGUAGCUGGUCUGAGAGGAUGAUCAGCCACACUGGAACUGAGACACGGUCCAGACUCCUACGGGAGGCAGCAGUGGGGAAUAUUGGACAAUGGGCGCAAGCCUGAUCCAGCCAUACCGCGUGGGUGAAGAAGGCCUUCGGGUUGUAAAGCCCUUUUGUUGGGAAAGAAAAGCAGCAGGUUAAUACCCCGCUGUUCUGACGGUACCCAAAGAAUAAGCACCGGCUAACUUCGUG
rnacentral:rRNA from 1 species